UUAAAUAAUUAAUUAUAUAAUUAUAAGAUAAAAUGAAAUGAUUUUACUAAAAGACUGUCGUUGUAAAUUCAAGUGACUUGCCAUUAAUAGAGGUACACGCCCAAUUUACAACAUGGCUCAUCCCUGCCUUAAUCUACAGUUCUACACCCCUGUCUUAAUCUACAGUUCUACAUCCCUGCCUUAACCUACAGUUCUACACCCCUGUUUUAAUCUAAAGUUCUACACCCCUGUCUUAAUCUACAGUUCUACACCCCUGCCUUAACCUACAGUUCUACACCUCUGCCCUAAUCUACAGUUCUACACCCCUACCUUAAUCUACAGUUCUACACCCCUGCCUUAAUCUAGAGUUCUACACCCCUGCCUUAAUCUACAGUUCUACAUCCCUGCCUUAAUCUACAGUUCUACACCCUGUCUUAAUCAACAGUUCUACGCACUGUUCUACACCCUGCCUUAAUCUACAGUUCUACACCCCUGUGUAAGAUCUGAGGAUCUUUAUAAACUAAUGUGUGUUCAGGGUGUUCAGCGACAAGACGUUACUCAGUGUGUUCAACCAGGAAUUCUCUACAAAUAAUCGAUCAAUCACACGGAACUCUACAUGCACAAUUUUCUACAUUUAAUCACGUGUUCAACUCUAUAUAAUUAAUUGAGAUUUUUAAUGUAUAACUAUUUAAAGGCCAAUUUUUAUAAAGAAUAACCUGAUUUUGUUUUAUAAUGCAGAACCUGAGUUUUAUGGUUAAAAUGUUUUAUAACUUAACACAUAUAUAUAAUAUUUAGCCAAAAUCUAUAUAUUGUCUUGUCAAAGCCUAUUUAAUAAAUCUAGCCUCAAAACUUGAUAAAUAAUGAGUUUUAUCUUUCAGAACACAAUAGUUUAGUUGCUUCCUUCUAACCUGAAAUUGUGUUUCUUUCUCCAGGUCUAUAAAUCAUCCGUAAUAAAUACUUAAGGCUAAUUAAAGUUGAAUGAUCUUUACACAACGUUGGAAAAUUUUAUUCCUACGGAUGGUUUAUAGAAUAUAUGUAGAUAAUUGUGAUUGUUGUGAUUCCUCUAAAUAGUUCCGGGCUCGUAUCCGUGCUUUAAACCAAGUGAAAAAUUGCAAAUGUCUAAAAUGAGCUUAAAUAAUAUCCCGACUUCUCAGAAAUCUCUCAACAUAAUUCUCAUGCUAGGCUGGCACGAGUCCCGUUGAUAUAUAACCUCAACUUGCUCCGCUGACUCGUGGAGAAAUUCUACUGAUCUUCAACAUGCAGAUAUCUCCCCUGCGAGUGUUUGACUCCUGAGAUGGUUUCGUUCUCUUCUAAUCUGAGUUGGUUCAGUUCUCUUCUACUCCCACCUACUAAUCUUGACAUCCUGAGUCUAAUGAAGUCUAUAUAAAAGACCUCCGACAUCACCGGAAGCUGAGUCAUCCUUGUUCUCUGGAUCCUCAGCUCGUGCUCCAGAAUAUCCUUCUGGUACUCUAGAGACCCAUAUACCUCUACGUACCAGGCCUGCACAACUUUGGCUUAGUUGUUUCCUCUACUCCGGUUUCUCCGACGAGAAACAUUGUUGCUCCCCUCCGACUGCGGUGCAAUUUAAUGAACUAUAGGCUACAAACCUCUGGACAAAUCAACAUUUUCACGGUUGAGUCCUAUAUAAACUGCCUACCUGAAAUAUAUACAUAAGAUUUAA
rnacentral:lncRNA from 1 species